rnacentral:misc_RNA from 1 species
UAUCCGUAGGUGUACCUGCGGAAGGAUCAUUAAAGUUAUAGUCCCCCGGCCCUCUGGGCUGGGGUCUUCUAUACCACCCUUUGUUUAUUACACCUUUGUUGCUUUGGCAGGCCUGCCCUCGGGCUGCUGGCUCCGGCCGGCUCGCGUCUGCCAGAGGACCUAAACUCUGUUUGUAUAUGAAGUCUGAGUACUAUAUAAUAGUUAAAACUUUUAACAACGGAUCUCUUGGUUCUG